UUAAUUUUAAAGCUGUGAGUGGAAUCGUGGAUGUGAUGUGAUCGUCUAUUUUUGUUAUCUCUAUCCGUUGAAUGAUUGAAAGGUGCAGUGUGGAACAUCAAGUCUACUUCCAGUGCCCCAAAUGAAGAAAUCCAUAUAAUAAUCCAAAAUUGGUUUUGAUUCUCCAAAGACCAUGAUGGAGGUCGAGAAAAACGGAGAAAUGAUCCAGCAACCAAUCACAUGUAACUAGGCCAAGUGCCAAUAAGUAAAUUUUUAGAGAAUCUCAAACAUCCAUAAUCUUUUUUGUAAUAAUUUUACAAUAUACAAACUUUUCAUGCA
rnacentral:lncRNA from 1 species